AAUGGACACCAUCACAUAUCACCUAAUAGAAAACAGGUCUCUCUAGAAAGUACCUUUGAGAUGUGUGAUAUGGGAGAUUUGCUGUGAAAGAGAGCCAGGUCCUCAGCUGAGGGUGCUUCUGUAAAUCUAGUUUUCCCCUCAACUCCAUAGGUUUCAACAUAGCACCAAUCAGGGAUGUCUGUUAUGCCAACCAUUGAUGCAAGGUUACAGACAGGAUUUCUCGCAGCUGCAGCAACAAAUUUAUCUGGCGCCUGCAGAAAGUUAUGCAGAUGUGUUCACUAUAUUAGAGGUCUAUGUAAUAACAAAAAUCUCGAUAAACAGUCUACAAAAGACACCUGACUAUCACAAGGAGAGAGCUGGAAAUGCUAAACCUGGCCAAUUAAGUGAGUUGUGAGAAAGCCACCAUGGGAACCACCAAUCACAGCUAUUUUGGAGGGGCUAGCAACACCCGUGUCAAUCACAUGAUCUAUUGCUGUAAUUACAUCAUUGACAUCCUGUGCAUAGUAAGCUAUAAGGUUAGAAUUUGCACAAACUCCCCAAAUGUUUGAGAUGCUUGAGUAGAUAUCUGUAUGUCUUCUGGGAGAAAAUGGAUUUUUUCCAAGCGAGGAAAAAGAACAAGAAACCAGGAAAUACAGAUAAUGUGUCCUGAUACUCCUUGCAAGAGAUUAUUAAAAAUGAAGAAUCAACGCUGGGGCAAAGGGAAGUGGAGAAAGUAAGAGAGAAAUAUGCAAUGUAGGAACAAGAAAGCUGACUUGUUUGUUUGUAGUUAGUUUACUACUGCUUAGAGUUUAAAGAUUGUUUUGAUAACUUUCUAGGAUUUUAUUGUUGUUGAUAUUAGGAUACUUAUUUCUUAUUGAGUUCAGGUAACUUUCUUGUUCCCAAACUACAUCAGAGAAUCCCUUCAUAGAAAAAAAAAAAGGACUCAGAAAAAGAAUCCAACCUGAUGCAUAAAGCCUUGAUUUUUACAAAAGCAUGCCAAACAAAAUUUAGGAGAAAGGGCAGAUUUGCCCUCAAAUUAUUAUGCACGUCCCAAAUGAAUCUUCCACCGAUCAAUUGAGUCCCCAUUUAUUAGGGUUGGUUAAACCAUCUACAAUGUUAUCUACAGUGAAAAGGUCUGUUUAUUUUUAACAUAUUUUAGGCAAGUAUUCGCACAAUGCUCCCUCAGACAUUGUGUGCCAAAUAUAUUCAUUAACAAGAAUCUUGACACCACAAGUCACCCCACAUGAUGCAUGUGAAUGCUCAAAUAUAAAAAGAGGUUAUAGCCUAUUUUGUGUGUUACAGAGUCUUGCACAUGUGGGUGUGAUUUUUAACUCCAAAAUAUUUUAGGCUCACUUUUGUCCUCGAAAUCAGGCUAAAAGAGCUUGCACCUGCAGGGGCUAAUUCAAAAAAUUCUCAAAGGAUGGGGACUCAUUUGAGAUAUCCAUAUAUGGGGGGCUCCAUUGGGAUAGACAUAACACUUUGGGAGUAAAUUUGUCCUUGGACUAUAAACUUUAAUAAGAAUGAGUACCUGUGAACCAACUUUCCCUGGAAGAGAUUGCAAAGCUUCCUCACCAAAUCCUAGUGAACCUCUGUGAUCAAAGACUUAGUUAGAAAAAUCUGGGAAAGAACAAAAAGGACAGUCACAUGCUGGCACUCUAAUUGUGUGUUUGGGAUUGUAGUACAUGGUGCCUUUUAAAAUAGCUUUUCACUUGAAAAUGCAUCAAAAUGAAUUUUUUUCAGAUUUAUUUAUUUAUUAUUUUUGAUAUCAGCACAACAAAAUUAUCAUAAAGCAUUCAAAAAAACAUCAAUUUGAAACUGUUUCAAGCCAAAAACACGUCAAAAAAGCACAAAGGCAGAAGCACCCCCAAACACACCCUAAUACCAUUUUAACGACUGCACCAAACCUUUUGAGCAUGCAAAGAUGAAAAUUAUCAAGGGACCAAAUGAAUUUUAUGGUAAAGUUAUGUCAAUUUCAAACUGGUGUAGAACCACCAGCAAGAAUACAAAAGUACUAAUUCUCAGAGGAAAAACUGCAUCUUGGAGAUAAUAAAAAUUCAAUGUUCUUUUGAAUAUCAGGGUAGGGUCUUUGUUUAUAGACAGUAAAAUUAGAAAACCUACUAAAUAGUUCCCAUCCAAUAAUAAAACUAAAGUAAACUAAAUUCCAAUUUUGAAAUUCCUGAAUAAUCAAACAAUAUUUCCCGUUGUUGUCUUUCAAUGCCAUGUAAAAAAUAUAAAACAUCAGCUUGGAGAGAUUUUUUUUUUUUUGCAGAUUAUAUUUCAUGGGUAAAACAGUCUGGUGGAGCAUAGAGAAAUGUGUAUUGAUCUGAGUUUCUGAUUAAACUUAAGAAGAAAAGGGAAAGAGAAAGGGAAAAACUUUAAAACACCUGUAAUUUACAAUCAACAAGCUGUAACCUAGUGAAGACAGAAAUGCAUAGGACUUUGCAAAGCCUGACAAUGAGACAGAAUGUGGGCCUCCAUGAAGCACAACUAUUAGUGGAUCACAAACAUCAUUCUUCUUAGACUGGCGAGACACAAAAAUAGCUUCGAAAGGUUUGCUAGCACCUGAAAGAAACAAAUGUACAAUGAAGCAAAAUUCAUUGCAGUGAUCAUAGUUCAACGCUUUCAUGAAUUGAGAAAGACUUCCCAAUAGUACCAGAAAAAAAAUUCAAUCAUCCCAUUCUUCAUGUACGAAGUCCCUAAAAAAAUUCAGCUCCAUAUGCUGAUGCAGGAAACUAAAUGAAAGAAUACUUCAUAUCUUACUUUCUUUCCUUACCAAUCAAAUUCCAACAAAAUUUCCAAUGGACGGGCUAAUGCAUGUAAAUAAAUGAAUAAACAUAAGUAAAACAAUACCCCCAAAAAAAAAAAAAAAACCCAUAAAAAACGGGGUAGAAAUCACACUGUUUUUAUGAUGCAUCUGAAAUGCGCUAGCAGACCCAUGUCAAUGCAUCAAAGUGUUCAGAAUUUUGAUACAACAUAUUGAUAUAAUACCUUUUGUCAGGCAUUCAGAAACAUCCUUGACUGGAAUCUUCAAUAUAGUGAACUGACGACAAGAGAGCAAAGAAUUAACCUGUACCAAGAAGAAACUGUCCUCACAAAACUAGAACUUAAUGGAUAAACGAUACAAAAUUCAUGUUCUAAAAAUGCCAACAAUACAAACCUUCGCAGAGCAUCCGAAUAUUGGGCUUGAUACAUCUGACCAAUCCCAUGCAGCAUUUUUAAUUUCCUUAUCAACAAGAUAACCAUACCUGAUUUGAGGUACAUCUACUGGACUGCUAAACACUGGAACAGGGGAAGAAAAAAAGAUUAUAUUUCCCUUCUCUUCACUUUAACAUGGUGGGUUAUAGAUAGCUUUCAGCAUUUGACUUUACCGGCAAUAAUGCUGUCUCCAUCUAGAGUAAGAAGAUUCCAUGAAAAAUUGGAGUCUGUGGGACUAAUACGUGAUACAUCCCCACUGUAAUUCGAUAAUCAUACCAUGAAUCAACUAUACAAACAGAUUCUGAAGCUAUGUACACAUAAGAAAAGCUGUACCUAUAUGACUUUUAAAGUUACCUCAACACAUUCACAGAAAGUAUAACUUGACUGCUGCCCCAUGCUGAAGAUACAAUCAUAGUGCAUCCAUCUGAAAGCCAUGGAUUUGGAAUGAAAUUAGAACAGUAAAGCCCUGGGAAGCAACCAUCCUCUGCGCUCUGCACAAUAGGAAUCUGCAAUGAUUUAUAGAAGAAAAUAGUUAGUUACAGAUCAUACACAUGAAAGAAAAUCUUCCAAAUCUGUGGAAACUGGUAAAUGCAUCAUUCAUAGGGAAAAUAUAGGUAAGAGGAAAUUGCCAGGGAUAGCCUCAGGACAAGGGAUUGGCAGUCGUCCAGCCUGGGUUCCCAACAAGUGUAUACUCCUUCCCUUCAUUUGAAAUUCUAAAAGGUGAGAGUUCACAAGAACAUCGAGUGUAAAAGCAUGGCUAUUUUAAAAGCAACAUUGAUCCCAGAACAAAAUGCAAUCCAUAUUAUAUUAUCAAUCAUUACUUUUAAAUAUUCACAUUCUAGUAUCUUAUAUAAAAGCUGUUGAUGAACAAGGCAAAGUUCAUCAUAACUUCUUGUAAAUGAAUAGAGCAAUAGCAAACAAAAUCGGCAAUUCUAUACAUGCCAGUGGAAUUCACAAAAUGUAAAUUAUAGAUAGACAUGAAGAGCUCACCACAUCAAUAAUUUUUAAAGAGGACAAUUCUCCAUUCACUGGCCAAUCAAUUCUGUGAAGUGAAUCUGUUGCAGAAUGUGCACCCGAAUCUACAGAACUUCUUGCAGAUAGAAACACAAGGAACCUUCCAUCUGGGCUGGAUAACAUAGACAUGUUUCACAUGCAAUCAGCUUUAAAUACAUCAAUACUAUCGUGUAAGGAAUUUUUUUUCAAGUUAUACAACUUAACAUAUUCAAUGGUUUCCAGUUAACUGAAGAAUUGUUGAUCAUUAUAGCUAAGCUUAUAAAGAGAAGGUGAGGGAGAUCAUAAAUCACUUUUAAGCAUAUAACCACCUACUAAUAAAAAGAAAUAGUGCAUAAGCACAUGCAUGGAAUCAUUCACACACUUAAACAGAGAAGAAAUGAUGCACAAAUUAAACCUGAUGUGUCUGUGACACCUAAAAGAACAUCUGGACAACGAAUUUGCAAAUUUUAAUAUCAACACAUAGCCGCAGGGGAAUCCAUUAACUUAGAAUAGAAAGAUGGAAAAUAGUGAUGAAAAAAAAGAAGGAACAAGUUUACUAUGCCAGUGCAUCACCCGUACAAGUCAUCGAUGCGAAGAGGAUCUAUAGGCUGGAAACUAGCAAAAAUUAACUGGUCACCUUUAUCUUGUAAUAUUUUUUUACACAAAAAGAAAAAAGGUCGUGUCAAAUUGGAAAGUGGAAAAGAGACAUGCAAUCUCAGCAAAGAAGCCAUCACGCCUCUUUUGGGCUAGGGCUUCAGGAUAAAUUCAUUUCCCAGAAAUAAAAUCUUCGGCAGACUUGAUUGUCUUGAAAAUGUAUCCAAAACUGAGAAAUCACACUGCAGAAGUAUCGCUUAUCACACAGAAAAGGAGAAGAAAUAAAGUUUCUAGGUCAAUGUGAAGGCUCAAAACCAAGGUGGUUGUAUAAAUAGCAUACCUGAAUGAUGGAAAGAAGGCACUACUUAUGCUCUGAGUUAGGUUAAGAACGGGUGAGUCUUCGUUUGGACUCUCUCUGAAAGAUCACAAUGAAAUUUAAAUUACAUAAACCAGAGUUAGCAUACUCAAUCUCCGACAGCAACUAAUUAACAACUGAGAGAGACAGAAAAAACAACGAGAGCUUUAUGAGAACAAGUAACCCACUUGAGCUCUAAAUCAUUGGCUUCUGAUGCACAAACUGGUGCUCUAACUGCAUAUAGUGCACAUGGCCUGUUGUAGCAGUAUUUUAUGCCAAGCUUUCUUGGAUUUGAUGACCAACCCACAAACACCAAAUACUGAUGCAAGCCUUGGGUUGAUGGAGCCCAGACAACUUGGCCAACGCUCAAGGACUUUGAAAUUCCUUUGACAGGCUGUACUUGUCCGCUGCACAACAUGGGAAAGUUCAAAUUGAGGAUUUAAUGUCUCACAAAAAACUAUGUUUAGCUGUAUCAAUGACAACAAAAACCUCUUACAAAACCUGUUAAUGUCAAUCAAAAAAAGUGCAGGCUGCCUUUUCCCUGCAUAGGUUUCUCCCCAGUCCUCCUCCCAUUCCCCCUGACCUUUCCAGCUACCACAGUCCUUAUCUGCUGAACCACCUUUUUUAUACCCCGAAUCAUUAAAUGUAGGCUUGGAGGGUGAGGCCUCCUCGGCAACAUAAGCAAUAAGAGUUUCCUUUGAGUUCCAUGAGAUCCCCUCAAACCUAUGACAUCUAAAAACAUUCAAAUUUCUGGAUGCUCGAGGAUGGCAGUGAACAAUGAUACUUAUUAUCAAACAAAUCUACUGCUAAAAGACAUGAAUGUACAAAGUCGAAAGUAUGCAAGCCUGGCUUAGCAAAUCAUAAAUAUUAAAAAGAUGUCACCCGCAGCGAAAAGGCUAGAUGUAUAUAGUCACUGACCAUCCAUCACAAUACACCGAACCGUGUACAGAUUGGGGGAUGUUGAAUUCCUUUUCCACAUGACCUUGAUUCCAAAUCUCAAAACGGGUGGGAGAUUCAUUUUCCGGAUUCCGAACAACAAGAAGCUUCGAACCUGAUGGUGAUGGAACAACUGUAGACACACCGGUCAUCUCAACAGGAAAUGGAGACCAUUGAAAGUUAACAGAAUUGCCACUCCCUUUCGAGAUAUUAGCAGAUAGAGCAUACUUCCUCCUCUUAUUAGCCAGAAGAUUUGCUUGGCUAAUCGAAAACAUUGCCUGGGAACCAAUUCCUGCACCAAACAUUGUUUCAAGAAACACAAACAGGAAAAAGAAAGAAAAAAAGUUGAAGUCGCAUAUAUAACUAGACUUACCAGUGUUAGACUUAAAAGUCCAUGCCUUGUCAAUGUUAGGGAUGCUAGUGAAUUCUUGAAGUAAACUGGAAAGGGAAGCAUACUCUUCCUCAGUUUUAGCAUCGAACCCAACUGGCAGAUCCUUCGGCGAGGAAGAUACAGAGGCGUCCAUUAAUGCUUGAAUGGCAGAAGAACGUUUACUACAGAUUGAAGAGAAAACAAAAAUCAUCAAAAGAGAGAACAAGCCAGCAGCGAACAACAAGAAGCAAGUAGCAUCAAGAAAAGAAAGCAAAUUCGGUCAAUCGGGGCCAAACCCAUCAGUUAUCAAACAAGAUCAAUCAUUAAUUUAGCCGUAUUAUGAUCAAACAAAACAAGCAAACUUUAGAAGGAUAAGCAACGAAGAAUCCACACUUUUUAAAGGUGGAAGAAAAAUGGAGUUCUAACGUUAAUGAAAAUAAACCAAGUAUUGCAAGGAGACUAGAGAGCGAGAAGGGCCCCUUACGUAGAGAGCGAACGAGGAGCGGAAAAAGAGGAGCGAAGGAGAGUUGGAGUGGGAGAGUGAGGAGAUGUCGUUAAAGAAAGAAGAAGAUAGGAAGGAGAAGGAGGGAGACACGACAACCAAUUAAGCUUUACCAGGUGUGCUCUUCCCAUUUUCGGAUUCCAGUUUUGUUUUGUUUGCCAUUAUGAAAAUGCGUUUACACCAAUCAUAAUAAUAAAUUAAUAAUAAUAAUAAUGUUUUGUUAUUAUUAUAUUUUGCUAUGAGCAAGUAUUGUUUUGUUUUUAGUAUACUUUGCUAUAUAUUUUUUAUUUGUUUGAAUUAAAGAGAAAUUGAAAAGUAAAAUAUAUUUUAAAUGCAUUUGAUGUGGGUUGUGGAUGAUGUAAGGAACAUCCAUCAUAAAGAAAACUUGAUUUUGAAGAACAAAAGUUUGAGAAUAUUUUUAUUAAUGAGACCUAGAACAAUUUAUCUUGUUAAAAAUAGAAUAUGAUGCUUGAUAAUAUUAAAGUUAAAAUCAUCUUUGGAACUAUGGGAAGCGGUAAAAAAAAUGUAUAGAAAUCAAAAUAAUGCAGUUCGUAUAUUUUAAAUCAACAGAAAUCCUGCUAAUCCACGACAACAUGACAAAACCUAUCUUCAAUUGCUUGGGAUCAUGAAAAGUAUGAGGUAUGAACUUGCACUAUAUCAUCCCUACACAAUUGAUGCAACAGAAUUAAGGAAACAUGAACUAGAGGACUUUGCAAUCUGUGUUUGGAAUCUGUCGUCGUCCUUCAAUUAAAUGCCAUAAACUCUUGGAUGACAUGGUCAUGUAGAUCAGAAUUUAGAGGUGAUAAACUGUUCAGGUGCAGAGAUUUUGGGUUUGAUUCUUAGCUGAUAUUUUGCAGGGUAUAUUCAUGGAUCUUCCCACCAGCUGGGGAGUUUCAAAAAUUCCUUUUGAAACUCCCCAGCUUUCUUGUACAUUUGCACAACAAUUCUCAUAGUCACCUUGCUGAAUCCGUUUAAUUCCCAUUUCAAUACACAAACAUUCAACAUGGCUCCAUUUUCGAGCUCGCCGAGAAUCCUGAGCAUAAUGUUAUAAUGAAUUACAUAUAACUCAUAGCAACCGUUCCCCUUAAACCACUCAAAAAUCUCCAAAGCUCUUUCCCAAUCAGACUGCAACUUCAAAAUCAUGUUCCUAUCUCUGUUACCAAGUGUAUCCUCCCAUGGAUUCAAUGCCCCGUCCAAGUCUUUGAUCGUAUCAAGAGCUUCCAAAAUUGAUGGAAUGCAACCUCCAUAAUUUGCCCAGUUGUCGAACCGCGGUGUGCGCUUUAUCAACGGAACCAUUGCUACUAACCCUCUUCAAAUCAACCCCAAAAUUCUUGUUAUUACCAAUUAUAGUACUAUUCCUUGAGGUAUUUCUCAGUUAUCUAUCUGGGUUUUUAUAGAAGACAGGCUUAUUAGGAGUCUGUUAGUGAACUGUACUGAACUCCUUGAGAAUUCCUCCGUUGUGGGUUUCGAGGAGGCCUUGCUGUUUGUGUUUCGACAGUUUCAAUCUUUUCUAGUAGAGAAAGUGAUUCUCCUGUGUUUGUGGGUUUGGGGGGUGGUUUCUUUUCACCAUUGGCACCAUAGCCUUUUAAUUUCUUACACCGGUCUCUUUUUUUAAGUGUUUUUUUAUUUAAAAAUAUAUUAAAAUAAUAUUUUUUAUUUUUAAUAUCAACAUAUUAAAAUAAUAUAAAAACAUUAAAAAAAAUAUUGAUUUAAAGUAAAAUAAAAAAUUUAAAAUAUUUUUAAUACACAAAAAAACAAGACCAUAAUGUAAUAACUCAACUUUAUAUUAUUUCGGGUGUGUUUGUUUUAGAGAUAUGGGCACCCCAAAUAAAAAAAAACUCUCUUCUUAACAAUUCCAUGUUUGCAAGAUUUGGAAUUCUGGUGGCAAUUAUAUAUCAAAAAAAAAAUUAUUUAAAAAUAUAUUAAAAUAAUAUUCUUUUUAUUUAAAAAAAAAUAUUUUUAAUAUGAAUAUAUAUAAAAAAAAAUUUACAAAAAAAUUUAAAAUUUUAAAAAAUAAACACAAUUUAUACUGUUUUUUCAAACAAGCUCUAAAACAAGAUGUAACAACGGAAACAUUCCUAUAAAAGAAAAAAAAAAUCGAAACACAAACCUAUCACAGAAGCUCUUAAAACAAUAUAUAUAUAAAAAUAACUCCGCAUCCAUAUUCCAUAUCCAUAAAAAUUGGAGGCAGCAUGCAGGCUUAUCGAUAGUCAAAAUGGAUUUUGAAAGACAACAAAUUUCCAAACGAAUAGCUGAUGCAUCAGGACACGAUUAUCCCUUUUCUUUACCUCAUGCCUUGAGUGAGCAUAUUGCUUGUGCACAACAGUGCUUAUAGGGCUCAUAAACUUUCUUAAUACAAGACAUGGUGGGUUGACCAUAAAGAUCCACCCUUUAUCAAUUACCCGCAUCCAGGCGAGCAAAUAGUUUGCUGAUUAUUUUUUGUAUUUUGACCUCGUACAGCAUGAGCAACAUGUGGUUAGCCAUGCAUGCUUAUUUACAGUACUUGUUGAACCAUACUGCAAUGUUAAGGAGGCCUUCGUAGUCGGAUUGGGGUCUGCAGAAAAGCAAUGCGGGUCAGGCUUUAUGUGAAAGUGAAUUAGAUUUGAGCUUCGUUAAUUGUAGCUGUUUACACAAGAAGGUGCCACAGUAAAUGUUUUACCUUUCAAUCGCAUGGACAUCAUUGGGAAACAUGAGGAUUUUGACCUCAACGCCUUUCUCUUUCAAUGCCCGUGCAUACUACAAAUUUUUCAAAUAUCAAACCAUUAGUACCAUCAUAUUAUGCAAGUAAUAGAAGAAAAAAAAACUGUUUGCGAUUUUUUAUCUUGUCUAACACUCUACCAGCUGCUUUUUUCAAAACAUACACUGGAAUACAAUUUUAAACAGCUAGCUAGUACUUGAAGAGGGAAGGAAACUUACUUGCAACCCAUUAGACAAUGGAACACGACGAUCCUGAGCACCUAGAACAAAAAUGAUCGGUGUUUUGACCUGCGAAUGUUAUCAAACUAAGAAAUUCAAUACCAUGACUUGAGGGUUUUGGGACUCAGCAUAGAUAAAAAAAUCCAAAAGAAAUGCCAAUCACUAUCUCUACCCGGCCAAUAUGACUGAAAGAAAGAGGGAAAAAGUUGUAAGUUUCAGGUAUCCUGUUUCCUCCACCUUUGCUUUAGGCAAACACCGACACAUGGUUGAUGUUCUGGUAAAUAACCAAAGAAUGUUUUUUACCAUGAAGCUCAGAUUCUUCAUUCUCAACAUAUUGUUUUCCUUUGCAUUGCACAACAGCCAAAAGCAGAGCUUGCUUGGCUGUUGUUGUAUAGCAUUCCAUGCAUCUGGCUAGUGCCAAUGCAAUCCAUGCAGGUACAAUUUCCGAUCCAGUACAGUUGUCCACAGCAAGUUCCAUGGAAACGCAUUGUGUUUUCUGACACUAGCUAUACUAGAUUUUUCCGUUGCUUUAAAGUUGAUAGCAUCCAGCAUUGUAAAAGCAACCGCACUACCAGGUGUCAUUUUGCUGUCAAGGCUGGAGAAUUUUUUGCAGUAAAUUUUAUUUGGUUUGGACCAUUCUAUUCCUAUUCUUAUUGCCUCUGUCUUAAGUCCCAAAAAUACUAGGAAAUAAUAUAUAUAUAUAUAUAUAUAUAUAUAUAUUGAAAAUUGGAAAAGUAUUGUGUCCAAUAGGAUUUGAACCACUAUCAAAGGUUUUGAAGACCUCUGUCCUAUCCACUGGACAAUGGACACCAUCACAUAUCACCUAAUAGAAAACAGGUCUCUCUAGAAAGUACCUUUGAGGUGUGUGAUAUGGGAGAUUUGCUGUGAAAGAGAACCAGGUCCUCAGCUGAGGGUGCUUCCGUAAAUUUAGUUUUCCCCUCAACUCCAUAGGCUUCCACAUAGCACCAAUCAGGGAUGUCUGUUAUGCCAACCAUUGAAGCAAUAUUACAGGCGGGAUUUCUCACAGCUGCAGCAACAAAUUUAUCUGGCG
rnacentral:lncRNA from 1 species